UGAGUACGAGAUGCUACGGCAUCGAAGCAGUCUAUGUCAUACUUCCAAGAAAAGCUUGCAAUGUCAUAAACAAAUAAUGCCUGUACCAUAACCGACACAGGUGGGUAGGUAGAGUAUACUAAGGGGCGCGAGAUAACUCUCUCUAAGGAACUCGGCAAAAUGACUCCGUAACUUCGGGAGAAGGAGUGCCUUAUUUUUAUAAGGUUGCAAUAACAAGAUCCAAGCAACUGUUUACCAAAAACACAGGUCUCCGCUAAGUCGUAAGACGAUGUAUGGGGGCUGACGCCUGCCCAGUGCCAGAAGGUUAAAGAAGUUGGUUAGCAUUAGCGAAGCUGAUAACUGAAGCCCUGGUGAACGGCGGCCGUAACUAUAACGGUCCUAAGGUAGCGAAAUUCCUUGUCGGGUAAGUUCCGACCCGCACGAAAGGCGUAAUGAUUUGGAUACUGUCUCGGAGAGGGGCUCGGUGAAAUAGACUUGUCUGUGAAGAUGCGGACUACCUGCACCUGGACAGAAAGACCCUAUGAAGCUUUACUGUAACUUGAGAUUGAAAUUGGACUUUAUCUGCGCAGUAUAGGUGGGAGACGUUGAAAAUAUUCUUGCGGGAAUAUUGGAGUCAUCAGUGAGAUACCACUCUUAUAAUGUUAGAUUUCUAACUUUGUAUCAUUAUCUGGUCAAAGAACAGUUUCAGGCGGGCAGUUUGACUGGGGCGGUCGCCUCCCAAACGGUAACGGAGGCGCACAAAGGUUUCCUCUGAACGUGUAGAAAUCGUAUCUAGAGUGUAAAGGCAUAAGGAAGCUUGACUGUGAGACCUACAAGUCGAGCAGGGACGAAAGUCGGUCUUAGUGAUCUGACGGUGCUGAGUGGAAAGGCCGUCACUCAACGGAUAAAAGUUACUCUAGGAUAACAGGCUGAUCUCCCCCAAGAGUUCACAUCGACGGGGAGGUUUGGCACCUCGAUGUCGGCUCAUCGCAUCCUGGGGCGGUAGUACGUCCCAAGGGUUGGGCUGUUCGCCCAUGAAAGCGGUACGCGAGCUGGGUUCAGAACGUCGUGAGACAGUUCGGUCCAUAUCCGGUGUAGGCGUUAGAAUAUUGAGAGGAGCCUUCUUUAGUACGAGAGGACCGAGAAGGACAUACCUCUGGUGUACCAGUUAUCGUGCCAACGGUAAACGCUGGGUAGCCAUGUAUGGAGAGGAUAACCGCUGAAAGCAUCUAAGUGGGAAGCCCACCUCAAGAUAAGUAUUCU
rnacentral:rRNA from 1 species